UAUUUGAAUUGAUGUUUUUUCAUCGUCAGAUGAUUCCUCUAGACUCAGAAAAGGUCGUGGCAAGACUAGAGGGAAAGGUUUUGAAAAAAUGAAGAAGGCUAUGGGAAGCAAGAUGAAAAUAGAGAUCCCGAUUGGUAAAGGAAGGCCAAUAAAGCCAAUUCAAUCAGCCAAACUAUCCAAUGAAUUAGGGAUAAUUGCUCGCAAUUUUCUUCCACUUCCAAAUAAGUGGAAGGAACUUACAAGAGAGGACAAAGAUGCAACACUAAUUAGAUGCCAAUACAUGUUUUUAAGGAGAGGUUUGACAUUAAUUUGACGAGCAUUAUGUGAAAGAUAGCUGUGAGGAUAUUCUGAAAAAUAGAACCCGACAAUGGUGCUACAAGUGAAAACAAAAAUUUGAAAGUGCACGCUCCGUGGAAGAAGCUCGUAAAAUGGAAGUUGAAUAGUUGACCUCAGAAAAUUGAAAUAAGCUUUGUGAUAUGUGGAACAAUUCAGAGCACAAGGUAAUUUAUAUUCAUGUUAUUCUCGUUAUUAAGUUAUGAUGUUUUUAUUUUCUUUGCAGAAACGAUGUGAAAUAAACAAGGUCAAUCGGACUAAGCUUAAAGCUAAUCAUUUCAUGGGAUCAAAAGCGUUUGUAGCAGCUCGUGCUGAAAUUGUGAAAAGGAACAUGAAGGUGUAGAGCCUGACAGAAUUAAGUUCUACAAGCAUACUCAUUACACAAGUGAAAAGGGAUGGUCAUCUAAAGAAGCUGAGACCAACUAUAACAACAUGACAGAUUUAAAAGCUCUUUAUACUUCUGGAGAGUUUUCCAUGACUAUUGAUAAAAUUGUGGAUGUUGUGCUUGGUACAAAGUCGGGAUACAUAAAAGGUCUUGGUUAUGGUCCUAAACCUAAUACUACAAGGGCAACACAAAGGAGAGCGGCAAAGUUAGAAGGCUCCCUCAAAAAGGCAAAAUAGGAAGCUGCUAGUGCCCAAAAUGAGUUACAAAAAUGAUAAAAUGCAGCUGAAACUAUUACCAGCAGUUGCAGAUUAAAGCAUUAAAUUUUUAGUUGAAUACUGUAACAGCACUCCAAGAGGAAAUGCUUAAGAAAAUACAGCUUCUUGUUAGUCCUUCGCUGUCAAGCAGAGAAAGAACUCCAACAACUCCAACAGAGUGCCAACUUUAGGUAUAUUUCUAUUUCACCUACUAAAACUUCAUGUUUAACGAGAUUUUAUAGUUUAUACCAAAUCUGUUAUUUAUAUUAUAAUAGAUAAGUACCUUGAAAUAUAUAUUACUAUAGUUUUUCAGUGUAUUCAACAGGAUCGCCAUAUUCAAAUGUGACCAUUGAUCUAGUGCCAAAUACGGCCCUUGGUUUAUGGUAGCUUUCUUGUC